rnacentral:rRNA from 1 species
AGAGUUUGAUCCUGGCUCAGGACGAACGCUGGCGGCGUGCCUAAUACAUGCAAGUAGAACGCUGAAGAGAGGAGCUUGCUCUUCUUGGAUGAGUUGCGAACGGGUGAGUAACGCGUAGGUAACCUGCCUUGUAGCGGGGGAUAACUAUUGGAAACGACAGCUAAUACCGCAUAACAAUGGAUGACACAUGUCAUUUAUUUGAAAGGGGCAAUUGCUCCACUACAAGAUGGACCUGCGUUGUAUUAGCUAGUAGGUGAGGUAACGGCUCACCUAGGCGACGAUACAUAGCCGACCUGAGAGGGUGAUCGGCCACACUGGGACUGAGACACGGCCCAGACUCCUACGGGAGGCAGCAGUAGGGAAUCUUCGGCAAUGGGGGCAACCCUGACCGAGCAACGCCGCGUGAGUGAAGAAGGUUUUCGGAUCGUAAAGCUCUGUUGUAAGUCAAGAACGAGUGUGAGAGUGGAAAGUUCACACUGUGACGGUAGCUUACCAGAAAGGGACGGCUAACUACGUGCCAGCAGCCGCGGUAAUACGUAGGUCCCGAGCGUUGUCCGGAUUUAUUGGGCGUAAAGCGAGCGCAGGCGGUUUGAUAAGUCUGAAGUUAAAGGCUGUGGCUCAACCAUAGUUUGCUUUGGAAACUGUCAAACUUGAGUGCAGAAGGGGAGAGUGGAAUUCCAUGUGUAGCGGUGAAAUGCGUAGAUAUAUGGAGGAACACCGGUGGCGAAAGCGGCUCUCUGGUCUGUAACUGACGCUGAGGCUCGAAAGCGUGGGGAGCGAACAGGAUUAGAUACCCUGGUAGUCCACGCCGUAAACGAUGAGUGCUAGGUGUUGGAUCCUUUCCGGGAUUCAGUGCCGCAGCUAACGCAUUAAGCACUCCGCCUGGGGAGUACGACCGCAAGGUUGAAACUCAAAGGAAUUGACGGGGGCCCGCACAAGCGGUGGAACCAUGUGGUUUAAUUCGAAGCAACGCGAAGAACCUUACCAGGUCUUGACAUCCCGAUGCUAUUUCUAGAGAUAGAAAGUUACUUCGGUACAUCGGUGACAGGUGGUGCAUGGUUGUCGUCAGCUCGUGUCGUGAGAUGUUGGGUUAAGUCCCGCAACGAGCGCAACCCCUAUUGUUAGUUGCCAUCAUUCAGUUGGGCACUCUAGCGAGACUGCCGGUAAUAAACCGGAGGAAGGUGGGGAUGACGUCAAAUCAUCAUGCCCCUUAUGACCUGGGCUACACACGUGCUACAAUGGUUGGUACAACGAGUUGCGAGUCGGUGACGGCAAGCUAAUCUCUUAAAGCCAAUCUCAGUUCGGAUUGUAGGCUGCAACUCGCCUACAUGAAGUCGGAAUCGCUAGUAAUCGCGGAUCAGCACGCCGCGGUGAAUACGUUCCCGGGCCUUGCACACACCGCCCGUC